rnacentral:tRNA from 1 species
GAGAGUAUAGCUCAAAUGGUAGAGCACAUGCUUCGCAUGUUAGGAAGUCCUGGGUUUAAUACCCAGUACCGCCU